rnacentral:sRNA from 1 species
GGCGGCCGCGGUGGCGGCUGCACCUGGGGCCUUGGGAUCCCUGCAUGCUGGCGGCGCCCGCCUGGUGGCCGCUUGCAGUGCGUGGCUCUGCCCGGGGUUGAGGCUGCCCGGCUCGUUGGCAGGCCGGCGAGUGGGCCCGGCGAUCUGGGCCCAGGGCUGGGUACCUGCGGCCGGGGGUCCCGCCCCGAAAAGGGGCUACAGCUCUGAGGUGAAGACGGAGGACGAGCUGCGGGUGCGGCACCUGGAGGAGGAGAACCGAGACAGAGACAAGAACAUGGUCAAAGGCAUGGAGAUGUGAACAUGUGUGGUGUAUUUGGGACGUAACAUAAGGCAAGUGUGGCAGUAGUGUGGCAUAAGCAGAAUAGUAAGAAAUUCAGCUGGAAGCAUAGACUAGCACUGGAGUGAUUAGAGCCUGAAUGCCAUCAUCUUUUGGGAAUUGUGGUGCUUGGAAUAAACAGAGCUUAUGGCAAAAAUUCACUCAGUAAAAAUCUUAUAAAAAUGCUAUCAAAAGCUGUGGAUGCUUUGAAAUCUGAUAAGAAAGUACGGACCAUAAUAAUCAGGAGUGAAGUCCCAGGGAUAUUCUGUGCUGGUGCUGACCUUAAGGAAAGAGCCAAAAUGAGUUCCAGUGAAGUUGGUCCUUUUGUCUCCAAAAUAAGAGCAGUGAUUAACGAUAUUGCUAAUCUUCCAGUACCAACAAUUGCAGCAAUAGAUGGACUCGCUUUAGGUGGUGGUCUUGAACUGGCUUUAGCCUGUGAUAUACGA